UAAAAGUGUCUGAUUAAAGUAAUAUAUUGUAAAUAUAUUUAAGAAAAAAAUUUUUUCCUUUUAA
rnacentral:tRNA from 1 species